rnacentral:rRNA from 1 species
UCGAUUUGGAGUUUGUUGCCUUGAGUGAUGGGCUCCGAAGCUAACGCGAUAAAUCGACCGCCUGGGGAGUACGGCCGCAAGGUUAAAACUCAAAUGAAUUGACGGGGGCCCGCACAAGCGGUGGAGCAUGUGGUUUAAUUCGAUGCAACGCGAAGAACCUUACCUGGUCUUGACAUCCACAGAAUCUUGCAGAGAUGCGAGAGUGCCUUCGGGAACUGUGAGACAGGUGCUGCAUGGCUGUCGUCAGCUCGUGUUGUGAAAUGUUGGGUUAAGUCCCGCAACGAGCGCAACCCUUAUCCUUUGUUGCCAUUGGUUCGGCCGGGAACUCAAAGGAGACUGCCGUUGAUAAAGCGGAGGAAGGUGGGGACGACGUCAAGUCAUCAUGGCCCUUACGACCAGGGCUACACACGUGCUACAAUGGCGUAUACAAAGGGAGGCGACCUCGCGAGAGCAAGCGGACCUCAUAAAGUACGUCUAAGUCCGGAUUGGAGUCUGCAACUCGACUCCAUGAAGUCGGAAUCGCUAGUAAUCGUGAAUCAGAAUGUCACGGUGAAUACGUUCCCGGGCCU